UAAUAGCUCAGUUGGUAGAGAACAAGACUCUUAAUGUCAGGGUUGUGGAUUCGAGCCCCACAGUGAGCAAAA